AGAUUUCUAUUAUUUUAUCAUGCAUAGUUUAUUUAGAUGUCUUGAGCUCUUUUAUAAAGUUUUUAGAUCUCUAGAUUAAAGAAAUAUUUCAGAGUUUGGCUUAGAUUUGUUUUACUAAUUUUUACUUUUCUUUCAGUUCUAACAAUAUAGUCAUUUAUUUAUAAUUUUUUCGUAGUUUUAUAGAAUCUAAUAAAUUUUCUAAUUACUAUGAAAAAAUUACCAUCCUUUGGGUCACAAGAACAUACUUUAUAAAUCUUCAUUUAAACCUCUAAGUCUUCUAAAAAUCUUAAAUUAAUUUUAUUAACAAGUUAUUUAAAAUAAAUUUAUUUUAAGUGUAUAAAUAUGUUUUCAAGAAGGUAAAUUAAAAAGGCUUAAUCACCUUUAAUGUCAAAGAAAUUUAUAUUAGAAAAAUAUAAUAGGUCCUUAUUAACAUAGAAUUUAUCUAACCUUAUAUAAAUCUCAAUUCUAUCUACUUCUUUUUU
rnacentral:lncRNA from 1 species